CUUCCAGUUAAUGGUACCAGCCAACAGCUAGCUCUCUGCAGUUCUCAUAUGGUUGCCCCCUGAAGCGAAGUGUGGUUGUUCCUGGUUAGUACCUGGAGGGAGACCGCAUGGGGAAAAACUAGGUUGCAACUGGAAGA
rnacentral:rRNA from 1 species